rnacentral:rRNA from 1 species
GACGAACGCUGGCGGCGUGCUUAACUCAUGCAAGUCGAACGGAAAGGCCCUGCUUUUGUGGGGUGCUCGAUUGGCGAACGGGUGAGUAACACGUGAGUAACCUGCCCUUGACUUUGGGAUAACUUCAGGAAACUGGGGCUAAUACCGGAGAGGAGCUCCUGCUGCGUGGUGGUGGUUGGAAAGUUUCGGCGGUUGGGGAUGGACUCGCGGCUUAUCAGCUUGUUGGUGGGGUAGUGGCUUACCAAGGCUUUGACGGGUAGCCGGCCUGAGAGGGUGACCGGCCACAUUGGGACUGAGAUACGGACCAGACUCCUACGGGAGGCAGCAGUGGGGAAUAUUGCACAACGGGCGGAAGCCUGAUGCAGCAACGCUGCGUGCGGGAUGACGGCUUUCGGGUUGUAAACCGCUUUCGCCUGUGACGAAGCGUGAGUGACGGUAAUGGGUCAAGAAGCACCGGCUAACUACGUG